GGGGUUUCCCCUCUUUCGAGGCUCGCAACCGAGAGGUCCCGGGUUCAAAUCCCGGCCGGUCCA
rnacentral:tRNA from 1 species